rnacentral:lncRNA from 1 species
AUUGAACUCAGGGGCACUCAACCACUGAGCCACAUCCCCAGCCCUAUUUUGUAUUUUAUUUAGAGACUGGAUCUGAAUGAGGGGCUUAGUUCCUUGCCCUUGCUGAGGCUGACUUUGAACCCACAAUCCUUGUGUCUCAGCCUCCUGAGACACUGGGAUACAGGCAUGUGCCACUGCACAGCAACUGGUUUUGCAACUAAGGCUAUAUACAUGAUUCCAGUACUUCACAUAAUUUUAAAUAAUCUUGAAAUAUUCAAUAUAUAGAAAACACCUUACCUUGUUAGAGGAGUUCAUUAUACUCCAUGAAAAACAAUUUAAGCUUUGGUUUUUUAUCUGAUAUUAUUUUAUCCAUAACUCAGUUCUAGAAAAUUGCCACACAACCAUGUCUUCGGCAGAUCCCUCUUCAGCUGAUAUCUGUUGAAGAAUAUUAAUCUAGAUCCUCUAACAGCAGUUAAAGGCAGUUCACAGCAGCUGCUUAAAAUCAACAUCUUCUGCCAUAAAUUUUGUCUCUUCCUUUUCUGUGAAAAGAUUUAAUGCAAUGUAAUGGCAGACAUACUUAAGAUCCAAGUCAAUAAUUUCCUCUCUUUAGAUUAUGCAAAAUGUCCAGGGUGGGCUUGUGUCAAGACUCUGGUCUCUGAGACUAACUGGCUCUUGAUGGAGAGGUCACAGGCACAGCCCACUAUGAGCCCUGGGCUCACAGAACCUCAACAAUCUCUUCAGAAUUCAGGGUAGUGUUUGCACAAUGUAUUGUUUUUGUCUUUUGACAUUUAACUUUUGUAGGUCCUUACACUGAAGGUAUAUGUUGUGAAGAGAAUAUGGUGGCAGCAAUUUCUUUCUUUCUACGGUUUGACAAUUUUUGAUGGAUUGAUUGCAGUACUGGGAGCCUCACAUAUGUUAGGAAAGCACUCUACUGCUGAGCUCCAUCCCGUCUGCAACCUCUUAUUUUAAACUGAAGUAUUAAUUUUGUUUAUAUUUGUAUAUAUCCUGAAAUAUUUGGAUUUAAAUACAUCGUCUUACUAUUUAUUUUUUAGUUUAUUCUGUGUGUUUUCCCUCUCUACAUCUUUCUUUGGUUUAACUUAAUAUUUUAAAUAUUUUUUGACUGCAAGUUACAAGUUCUUUCAUAGUUACCACAGAGACUGUAGUAAGCACCCUUUGUUAUUUUACCACUUCAAGACAAUGCAAGAAACUUGGAACUCUUUAAUUUCAUUGAUCCCUUUCUCAGUUCUGUGCUUUUGUUGUCAAGUAUAAUGUGUGUGUGUGUGUGUGUGUGUAACAAACAUACAAUUGUCCUUGAGUUCACAGGGGAUUGGUUCCAGCACAUCCUUCUCUCCACACAGAUACCCAAAUCCAUGGCUGCCCAAGUCACUUAUAUAAGAUGAUAUAGUAGUGUAGUAGAUACACUAUAAUUCUCCUAUUUUAAAUCAUCUCUAGGUCAUGUAUAGUAUCUAAUAACCUGGUAUUCGCCAGUUUUUCAUUGCAGGGACAAAAUACCUGAGAAAAAAUUUAAAAGGAGGACACAUUAGUUUUGGCUUAUGGUUCCAGAGGUUCUAGUCCAAUGGCCAGCACCAUCGUUUUAGGCCUCAGGUUGAGGCAGAACAUCAUGUCAGAGGAGCAUGGUGUAGGAAAGCUGAUCCGCUCAUGGCAGCUGGGAAACAGGGUGGAGAGGGGCAGGAGACAAGAUACACUCUUUCAAGGCACCACCUCCAAUGACCUCUUCCUCCAAGUAGGCCCCACUCACUACAGUUUACCAUCUUUCAAUGAUGCCAUCAAAUCAUGAAUCAAUCUAGUAGAUCAAUCCAUUCUUGAUGUCAGAGGCUUCAUGAUCCAAUUAUUUCCCCAGAGUCCUACCUCCAAACAUUGCUGGAUUGGAGAUCAAGCCUUCAACCCAUGAGACUCUGGGAGACUUCCAGAUCCAAACCAUACCAUGGAGAGCCAUCUGUAUAUAUAAACUUUAUGUGUGUAUGUGUAUGUGUGUGUGUGUCUAACUAUAUAAUAUAAUAUAAUAUAAUAUAUAUAUUGCAAUAUAUGUAUAUAUAUAACUAUAUAUAAUAGGUAAUAUACCUCACAAAACUUUAUUACUAUUGUUUUAUAAAAUCAAUAUUUAUUUAUAUGUAACUACCUAUUUAUUUUUUCUGUUGCUAACUUCUGACAUCUCUGAGCUCCUUUUAGGAUCAUGUUUUUCUGAAUUUCUUUAAUAUUCCUUUUUAGUGUAGGUCUGUUGCUGAUGAUAAAGUUUUCUUAAUUUUUGUUUGUCUACCAAGUAUUUAUUUUAUCUUUA